rnacentral:tRNA from 1 species
AUAUAGUAGUUGAGCAACAACAUUAAACUGCAAGUUUAAAAGCACCUUUUAAAUGUCUAUAUUU